GAUUUCUGGCUCGUCGUCCUAGCCCGCUUGCUUCGGUGGGUGAGUGCUGGUACGAUCUGCCAUCCUUCCAGAAAGCCGUGAGUACCAUUUACUUGGCCGCUCGCGUGCAAUCUGGAUCAUUUACUUUGAAAAAAUUAGAGUGUUUAAAGCAGGCUUACGCCUUGAAUACAUUAGCAUGGAAUAAUAACAUAGGACUUCGGUUCUAUUUUGUUGGUUUCUAGGACCUUAGUAAUGAUUGAUAGGGAUAGUUGGGGGUGCUAGUAUUCGGCGGCCAGAGGUGAAAUUCUUGGAUUCGCUGAAGACUAACUUAUGCGAAAGCAUU
rnacentral:rRNA from 1 species